CCUACGGGUGGCAGCAGUGGGGAAUAUUGGACAAUGGGGGCAACCCUGAUCCAGCCAUGCCGCGUGUGUGAAGAAGGCCCUCGGGUUGUAAAGCACUUUCAGUGAGGAAGAACGCCUGGUGGUUAAUACCUAUUAGGAAAGACAUCACUCACAGAAGAAGCACCGGCUAACUCCGUGCCAGCAGCCGCGGUAAUACGGAGGGUGCGAGCGUUAAUCGGAAUUACUGGGCGUAAAGCGCGCGUAGGUGGCUGGAUAAGCCGGUUGUGAAAGCCCCGGGCUCAACCUGGGAACGGCAUCCGGAACUGGCAAGCUAGAGUGCAGGAGAGGAAGGUGGAAUUCCCGGUGUAGCGGUGAAAUGCGUAGAGAUCGGGAGGAAUACCAGUGGCGAAGGCGGCCUUCUGGACUGACACUGACGCUGAGGUGCGAAAGCGUGGGUAGCAAACAGGAUUAGAUACCCGUGUAGUC
rnacentral:rRNA from 1 species